UCAGUCGACUCCUACGGGGAGGCAGCAGUGGGGAAUAUUGCACAAUGGGGGAAACCCUGAUGCAGCCAUGCCGCGUGUGUGAAGAAGGCCUUCGGGGUUGUAAAGCACUUUCAGUAGGGAGGAAGGUAGUGUAGUUAACACCUGCAUUAUUUGACGUUACCUACAGAAGAAGCACCGGCUAACUCCGUGCCAGCAGCCGCGGUAAUACGGAGGGGUGCGAGCGUUAAUCGGAAUUACUGGGCGUAAAGCGCAUGCAGGCGGCCUGUUAAGUCAGAUGUGAAAGCCCGGGGCUUAACCUCGGAAUUGCAUUUGAAACUGGCAGGCUAGAGUCUUGUAGAGGGGGGUAGGAAUUUCAGGUGUAGCGGUGAAAUGCGUAGAGAUCUGAAGGAAUACCAGUGGCGAAGGCGGCCCCCUGGACAAAGACUGACGCUCAGAUGCGAAAGCGUGGGGAAAAGCAAACAGGAUUAGAUACCCUGGUAG
rnacentral:rRNA from 1 species